UACGUAGGGGGCUAGCGUUGUCCGGAUUUAUUGGGCGUAAAGAGCGUGUAGGCGGCCAAGUAGGUCUGGUGUGAAAACUCGAGGCUUAACCUCGAGAUGUCAUCGGAAACCAUCUGGCUAGAGUCCGGAAGAGGAGAGUGGAAUUCCUAGUGUAGAGGUGAAAUUCGUAGAUAUUAGGAAGAACACCAGUGGCGAAGGCGGCUCACUGGCUCGGUACUGACGCUGAGGCGCGAAAGCGUGGGGAGCAAACAGG
rnacentral:rRNA from 1 species